GAGUUUGAUCAUGGCUCAGGAUGAACGCUGGCGGCGUGCCUAAUACAUGCAAGUCGAACGAAACUUCUUUAUCACCGAGUGCUUGCACUCACCGAUAAAGAGUUGAGUGGCGAACGGGUGAGUAACACGUGGGCAACCUGCCCAAAAGAGGGGGAUAACACUUGGAAACAGGUGCUAAUACCGCAUAACCAUAGUUACCGCAUGGUAACUAUGUAAAAGGUGGCUAUGCUACCGCUUUUGGAUGGGCCCGCGGCGCAUUAGCUAGUUGGUGGGGUAAAGGCUUACCAAGGCAAUGAUGCGUAGCCGAACUGAGAGGUUGAUCGGCCACAUUGGGACUGAGACACGGCCCAAACUCCUACGGGAGGCAGCAGUAGGGAAUCUUCCACAAUGGGCGAAAGCCUGAUGGAGCAACGCCGCGUGGGUGAAGAAGGUCUUCGGAUCGUAAAACCCUGUUGUUAGAGAAGAAAGUGCGUGAGAGUAACUGUUCACGUUUCGACGGUAUCUAACCAGAAAGCCACGGCUAACUACGUGCCAGCAGCCGCGGUAAUACGUAGGUGGCAAGCGUUAUCCGGAUUUAUUGGGCGUAAAGGGAACGCAGGCGGUCUUUUAAGUCUGAUGUGAAAGCCUUCGGCUUAACCGGAGUAGUGCAUUGGAAACUGGGAGACUUGAGUGCAGAAGAGGAGAGUGGAACUCCAUGUGUAGCGGUGAAAUGCGUAGAUAUAUGGAAGAACACCAGUGGCGAAAGCGGCUCUCUGGUCUGUAACUGACGCUGAGGUUCGAAAGCGUGGGGACAAACAGG
rnacentral:rRNA from 1 species